UGGGAAUUUUGGACAAUUGGGCGAAAGCCUGAUCCAGCAAUGCCGCGUGUGUGAAGAAGGCCUUCGGGUUGUAAAGCACUUUUGUCCGGAAAGAAAUCCUUGGCUCUAAUACAGUCGGGGGAUGACGGUACCGGAAGAAUAAGCACCGGCUAACUACGUGCCAGCAGCCGCGGUAAUACGUAGGGUGCAAGCGUUAAUCGGAAUUACUGGGCGUAAAGCGUGCGCAGGCGGUUUGCUAAGACCGAUGUGAAAUCCCCGGGCUCAACCUGGGAACUGCAUUGGUGACUGGCAGGCUAGAGUAUGGCAGAGGGGGGUAGAAUUCCACGUGUAGCAGUGAAAUGCGUAGAGAUGUGGAGGAAUACCGAUGGCGAAGGCAGCCCCCUGGGCCAAUACUGACGCUCAUGCACGAAAAGCGUGGGGAGCAAAACAGGAUUAGAUACCCUGGUAGUCCACGCCCUAAANGAUGUCAACUAGUUGUUGGGGAUUCAUUUCCUUAGUAACGUAGCUAACGCGUGAAGUUGACCGCCUGGGGAGUACGGUCGCAAGAUUAAAACUCAAAUGAAUUG
rnacentral:rRNA from 1 species